rnacentral:rRNA from 1 species
AUUGAACGCUGGCGGCAGGCCUAACACAUGCAAGUCGAACGGUAACAGGAAACAGCUUGCUGUUUCGCUGACGAGUGGCGGACGGGUGAGUAAUGUCUGGGAAACUGCCUGAUGGAGGGGGAUAACUACUGGAAACGGUAGCUAAUACCGCAUAACGUCGCAAGACCAAAGAGGGGGACCUUCGGGCCUCUUGCCAUCGGAUGUGCCCAGAUGGGAUUAGCUUGUUGGUGGGGUAACGGCUCACCAAGGCGACGAUCCCUAGCUGGUCUGAGAGGAUGACCAGCCACACUGGAACUGAGACACGGUCCAGACUCCUACGGGAGGCAGCAGUGGGGAAUAUUGCACAAUGGGCGCAAGCCUGAUGCAGCCAUGCCGCGUGUAUGGAGAAGGCCUUCGGGUUGUAAAGUACUUUCAGCGGGGAGGAAGGGAGUAAAGUUAAUACCUUUGCUCAUUGACGUUACCCGCAGAAGAAGCACCGGCUAACUCCGUGCCAGCAGCCGCGGUAAUACGGAGGGUGCAAGCGUUAAUCGGAAUUACUGGGCGUAAAGCGCACGCAGGCGGUUUGUUAAGUCAGAUGUGAAAUCCCCGGGCUCAACCUGGGAACUGCAUCCGAUACUGGCAAGCUUGAGUCUCGUAGAGGGGGGUAGAAUUCCAGGUGUAGCGGUGAAAUGCGUAGAGAUCUGGAGGAAUACCGGUGGCGAAGGCGGCCCCCUGGACGAAGACUGACGCUCAGGUGCGAAAGCGUGGGGAGCAAACAGGAUU